UACGUAGGGGGCAAGCGUUGUCCGGAUUCAUUGGGCGUAAAGAGCGUGUAGGCGGCCAGGUAGGUCGGUUGUGAAAACUGGAGGCUCAACCUUCAGAGGUCGACCGAAACCAUCUGGCUAGAGUCCGGGAGAGGAGAGUGGAAUUCCUGGUGUAGCGGUGAAAUGCGCAGAUAUCAGGAAGAACACCCGUGGCGAAAGCGGCUCUCUGGAACGGUACUGACGCUAAGGCGCGAAAGCGUGGGGAGCGAACAGG
rnacentral:rRNA from 1 species